ACGAACGCUGGCGGCGUGCUUAACACAUGCAAGUCGAACGGAAAGGCCCUGCUUCUGUGUGGUGCUCGGGUGGCGACCGGGUGAGUAACACGUGAGUAACCUGCCCUUGACUUUGGGAUAACUUCAGGAAACUGGGGCUAAUACCGGCUAGGAGCUCCUGCUGCCUGGUGGGGGUUGGAAAGUUUCGGCGGUUGGUGAUGGUCUGGCGGCUUAUCAGCUUGUUGGUGGUGUAGUGGCUUACCACGGCUUUGACGGGUAGCCCACCUGAGAGGGUAGCCGGCCACAAGAGGACUGAGGGACGGACCAGACGGCAACGGGAGGCAGCAGUCGGGAGUAUUGCGCAGUGAGCGGAAGCGAGAUACAGAAGCGCCGGGAGCGGGAUGACGGGCUUCGAGUGGUAAACCGCUGUCGACUGAGACGUGGCGGGAGUGACGGUAAUUGGUAAAGAAGCAACGGCUAACUACGUG
rnacentral:rRNA from 1 species